rnacentral:rRNA from 1 species
AACGAACGCUGGCGGCAUGCCUAACACAUGCAAGUCGAACGAGACCUUCGGGUCUAGUGGCGCACGGGUGCGUAACGCGUGGGAACCUGCCUUUAGGUUCGGAAUAACUCAGAGAAAUUUGAGCUAAUACCUGAUGAUGUCUUCGGACCAAAGAUUUAUCGCCUUUAGAUGGGCCCGCGUUGGAUUAGCUAGUUGGUGGGGUAAAGGCCUACCAAGGCGACGAUCCAUAGCUGGUCUGAGAGGAUGAUCAGCCACACUGGGACUGAGACACGGCCCAGACUCCUACGGGAGGCAGCAGUGGGGAAUAUUGGACAAUGGGCGAAAGCCUGAUCCAGCAAUGCCGCGUGAGUGAUGAAGGCCUUAGGGUUGUAAAGCUCUUUUACCCGAGAUGAUAAUGACAGUAUCGGGAGAAUAAGCUCCGGCUAACUCCGUG